UUUUUUUUUUUUUUUUUUUUACUAAUUUCCAGGCUCUAUUUUUAAGAAGUAAAAUGCACAGACAGAAACUGCAAAUAUCCUCAGCAGGCAGUAUGAUGAAUUUUCACAUACUAAAUGUAUUGUGAAACUAGCACCUGUGUUAAAAGGCAGAUUUUUUUUAGGACUGAAAACCUUCCCUGGUGCUCCCUUCCAGCCACUACUUAUGAUCACUUCUGUUGUGCACCGAGGGUAACUCUCCUCAUGCAUUCUAGCAGAACCACUUACUUUUGCCAGGCACACUUUCAUGCCUUUCAUGUAUCUUUACUCAUCUAAUCCUUAGAAUAAUCCUAUGAUUUCAAUGCUAUUGUUCUCAUAAUAUAUAUGAAGAAAUUAGGGAACAUCGGAUUUAAGUUAUUUGCCAAGAUUACACAGAUAGUAAAUAGCAGAGCCAGGAUCCAAUCUUGGAACUCUGGCUACAAAGUCGCAUUUCUUUUUACCACCAAGUUGUUGUGUAACCUGUUGUGGCAGGCUGGAUAAACAGUCCAAAUCAAUGCAGUUGAGUGUAUUGAAGAAUUACCGCUUACCUCCAUUUAGAACUUAGCACAUGAUUUUAAGCAUACUUUUUUAAAGAUUUUUAUUUAUUUAUUCAUGAGAGACACAGAGAGGCAGAGACAUAGGCAGAGGGAGAAGCAGGCUCCCUGCAAGGAGCCUGAUGCAGGACUCAAUCCCGGACCCCGGGAUCAUGCCCUGAGCUAAAGGCAGAUGCUCAACCACUAAGCCACCCAGGCAUCCCUCAAGCAUAUUCUUUUUUUAAAAAGAAAAUUUAUUUAUUUGAGAGAGAGAAAGGAGCAGCAGGGAGAGGCAGAGGGAGAGAGAGAAAAUCUCCAGCAGACUCCUCAGUGCAGGGCUUCAUGACCCUGAGAUCAUGACCUGACCUGAAAUGAAGAGUGAGUAGAGUGUUUAAUUGACUGAGCCACCCAGGUGCCCCUCAAACAUACUCUUUUUUUAAAAGAUUUUAUUUAUUUAUUCAUGAAAGACAGAGAGAGAGAGAGAGAGAGGCAGAGACACAGGCAGAGGAAGAAGCAUGUUCCAUGCAGGGAGCCUGAAAUGGGACUUGAUCCCAGAUCUCCAGGAUCAGGCCCUCGGCUGAAGGCAGCAAAAACCACUGAGCCACCUGGGCUGCCAUACUCUUUUAAUUGACAUAGUUUCACUUGUAGCUCAAAACACUGUGGGAAGCAUGAGACUCUGAGAAAGGGACUUGCCCAAGGGUCACAACUGUUAAAAAGCAGACAGAUUUUAGCCCUCAGUAGAUUAAGAUACAUUAUUUUCUUCUCCAUUUCUCAGAGGACAGGAGGAAAGUGAGGCCAGGAGAGGUUAAAUGAGUGACAAUGCCCCAUCUCCAACUUGUCCAGCUCAGGACUCUGCAUGUGGUUGUUGCUAAACUUGUAUAAGUCCUAGUUAGUCCUUGUAUCUGUACUGAAUAUUUAGAUAUUCAGACACUUUGGGGUAAUAUGGGUUCUUGACAGCAUUUAUGCAGGCAAUAGGGGAUUUUUCUCAUAGUCCAGGCAGUGCUGUAGAAAGAUGAAAGGAAAUUGAGGGAUAUAAAGAAGGCAGAGGAUGAGCAGAGCACAGCAUCUCUGUGAAUUGGGGAUCCAGUAGGGGUGACUUGUGGACACUUGACCUGUCUUUACAGCCACAAAACCUUUGGAAAGGAAUGAACAGCACCUACUUAAGGCUGCGGGCACAAGGGUUUCCAUCAGUACACCUGGGUUGGUAUCAUUGCUCUGCAAGUCACUAGUUGUACACCCUGGAAUGGAUCAUUCCAUCACUCAGGGUUCUACUUUCUUCAUUUGUAAAAUAGUGUUGGUAGUAUGACUGUUCACCAAAAUGACAGUUGGUUAAAUAAGGUAAUCUAUUAUAAAAGAUGCCAUCAAUACAUUUUGUUUCUCUUCCCUAUAUCCUGUCUUUGUUUUUUUUUUUUAAGGAUUUUUUUUUUUUGGUGUUCAAUUUACCCACAUACAGAAUAACCCCCAGUGCCCGUCACCCAAUCACUCCCACCCCCCGCCCUCCUCCCCUUCUACCACCCCUAGUUCGUUUCCCAGAGUUAGCAGUCUUUACGUUAUGUCUCCCUUUCUGAUAUUUCCCACACAUUUCUUCUCCCUUCCCUUAUAUUCCCUUUCACUAUUAUUUAUAUUCCCCAAAUGAAUGAGAACAUAUAAUGUUUGUCCUUCACCGACUGACUUACUUCACUCAGCAUAAUACCCUCCAGUUCCAUCCACGUUGAAGCAAAUGGUGGGUAUUUGUCAUUUCUAAUAGCUGAGUAAUAUUCCAUUGUAUUUAUGUAAACCACAUCUUCUUUAUCCACUCAUCUUUCGAUGGACACCGAGGCUCCUUCCACAGUUUGGCUAUUGUGGCCAUUGCUGCUAUAAACAUCGGGGUGCAGGUGUCCCGGCGUUUCAUUGCAUCUGUAUCUUUGGGGUAAAUCCCCAACAGUGCAAUUGCUGGGUCGUAGGGCAGGUCUAUUUUUAACUCUUUGAGGAACCUCCACACAGUUUUCCAGAGUGGCUGCACCAGUUCACAUUCCCACCAACAGUGUAAGAGGGUUCCCUUUUCUCCGUAUCCUCUCCAACAUUUGUGGUUUCCUGCCUUGUUAAUUUGCCCCAUUCUCACUGGUGUGAGGUGGUAUCUCAUUGUGGUUUUGAUUUGUAUUUCCCUGAUGGCAAGUGAUGCGGAGCAUUUUCUCAUAUGCAUGUUGGCCAUGUCUAUGUCUUCCUCUGUGAGAUUUCUGUUCAUGUCUUUUGCCCAUUUCAUGAUUGGAUAUAUCCUGUCUUUGUUGAACUCUCUUCCCUUGAUACUGAUUUAGGGUAAGUAUCAUUGAGAUCUUACUCACUUGCAAAAGAGAAAUGAAGUGAAAAAUAAUUUUUUAAAAGACCGCUUUAUUGAGAUAUGAUUGACAUACAAAAACUGUAUACAUUUAAUGUAUACAACUUAGUAAGUUUGGAGAUAAUAAGGCUUUCUUUAAUGAUCUUUUUUUUUUAAAGAUUACUUAUUAGAGGAAGAGUGUGUGUGAGUGGGGGAGGGGAGACACAGAGGGAGAGAAUCUUCAAGCAGACCUCCUUGCCCACCCACCACUGAGUGUGAAGCCCAAUGUGGGGCUCAAUCUCACAGCCCAAGAGUUCAUCACCUGAGUCAAACCAAGAAUGGGACACUCAACCCACUGAGCCACCUAGGGACCCCAUCAUUAAUGUCUUCUUAGUAUCGAGUGGUUUCAUUAAUCUUAUAUGACUGGCAACAAGGCCAAAUGUAGAUAUAUUGAGUGGAGAGAAAAGAACAUUGGAUACACAAGAGAACAUUGUGGAAGAGAAAAAAAAGAUGUGUAAUGUACUGCUGAACAAGGAAAAGAAUGAUAGGAAACUUGUCAAUGGAAAUAAUGCCAGCCAAGAGACACUGGAGUAACUUCUUCACA
rnacentral:lncRNA from 1 species